GGAGUUUGGACCGUGUCUCAGUUCCAAUGUGGCCGUUCACCCUCUCAGGCCGGCUAUUGAUCGUUGCUUUGGUAGGCCGUUACCCUACCAACUGGCUAAUCAAACGCGGGUCCAUCCUUAAGCGAAAUUCUUUUCCUCACAAAAUCAUGCGAUUCCGUAAGCAUAUGGCGUAUUAGCAGUGAUUUCUCACUGUUAUUCGCCUCUUAAGGGCAGGUUACCCACGCGUUACUCACCCGUCCGCCACUAGAAUUCUUGCAUCUUCAACCGAAGUCUCCGUCACAAGGUUCCCGUUCGACUUGCAUGUGUUAGGCACGCCGCCAGCGUUCAUC
rnacentral:rRNA from 1 species